rnacentral:snoRNA from 1 species
CUGCAGUGAUGACUCUCUUAGGACACCUUUGGAUCAAAGAUGAAACUAACUUGUGAAACUGAGCAGC